ensembl:misc_RNA
CUGUGGUAUUCCUGGGGCCCAGAUAGGAUCCUGUACCUUAGAAUCAUCUUAUCAUUUUUAGAGGAGAUGCACAGCCCUUGGAUUCAGUCAUCCCAGUUAAUGGCUUUCUGCUUUUCAUCUUUUAGAGUGGCUGCUUAUCAAAAUACUGUCUUCCUUGCUUUUGGCAAA